rnacentral:rRNA from 1 species
UGAGGAAUAUUGGACAAUGGGCGCAAGCCUGAUCCAGCCAUGCCGCGUGCAGGAUGACGGUCCUAUGGAUUGUAAACUGCUUUUGUACAGGAAGAAACAGUUCUACGUGUAGAACCUUGACGGUACUGUAAGAAUAAGGAUCGGCUAACUCCGUGCCAGCAGCCGCGGUAAUACGGAGGAUCCAAGCGUUAUCCGGAAUCAUUGGGUUUAAAGGGUCCGUAGGCGGUUAGAUAAGUCAGUGGUGAAAGCCAUCGCUCAACGGUGGAACGGCCAUUGAUACUGUCUGACUUGAAUUAUUAGGAAGUAACUAGAAUAUGUAGUGUAGCGGUGAAAUGCUUAGAGAUUACAUGGAAUACCAAUUGCGAAGGCAGGUUACUACUAAUGGAUUGACGCUGAUGGACGAAAGCGUGGUAGCGAACAGGAUUAGAUACCCUGGUAGUCCCUGAG